rnacentral:rRNA from 1 species
GACGAACGCUGGCGGCGUGCUUAACACAUGCAAGUCGAGCGGUAAGGCCCUUCGGGGUACACGAGCGGCGAACGGGUGGGUAACACGUGGGUGACCUGCCCUUAGCUCUGGGAUAAGCCUGGGAAACUGGGUCUAAUACCGGAUAUGACCUCAUGACGCAUGUUGUGGGGUGGAAAGCCUUGUGCGGCUAGGGAUGGGCCCGCGGCCUAUCAGCUUGUUGGUGGGGUCACGGCCCACCAAGGCGACGACGGGUAGCCGGCCUGAGAGGGUGACCGGCCACACUGGGACUGAGACACGGCCCAGACUCCUACGGGAGGCAGCAGUGGGGAAUAUUGCGCAAUGGGCGAAAGCCUGACGCAGCGACGCCGCGUGAGGGAUGACGGCC